UCCUACCAAAUCCUGAUGAACUCCGAAUGCCGUAAUAUAUACUCUGCAGUGAGGGCUAGGGUGCUAAGGUCCUAGUCCGAGAGGGAAAGAACCCAGAUCUGCAGCUAAGGUCCCAAAGUAUAUGCUAAGUUGAACUAAGGCGGUUCAGUUGCUGAGACAGCAAGGAGGUUAGCUUGGAAGCAGCCAUUCCUUUAAAGAGUGCGUAACAGCUCACUUGUCGAGCGACAGAGCAUCGAUAAUAAUCGGGCAUCAAGCGUGAUACCGAAGCUAUGGGAACUACGUAUGUAGUUCGGUAGGGGAGCAUUCCAAUACCAUUGAAUCAAAACUGUAAGGUUUUGUGGAGGUUUUGGAAAAGCAAAUGUAGGCAUAAGUAACGAUAAUGCGGGUGAGAA
rnacentral:rRNA from 1 species